GUGCUAGCUUCGGCAGCACGUAUACUAAAAUUGGGACGAUACAGAGAAGAUUAGCAUGGCCCCUGCACAAGGAUACAACAACGUGAUAGCUCAUUUAAUAACUU